rnacentral:rRNA from 1 species
UACGUAGGGUGCAAGCGUUGUCCGGAAUUACUGGGCGUAAAGCGCACGUAGGCGGCUUGGUAUGUCGGGUAUGAAAUCCCCGGGCUCAACCUGGGAACUGCAUCCGAAACUGCCUUGCUCGAGUAUGGGAGAGGGAAGUGGAAUUUCCGGUGUAGCGGUGAAAUGCGUAGAUAUCGGAAGGAACAUCAGUGGCGAAGGCGACUUCCUGGACCAAUACUGACGCUCAGGUGCGAAAGCGUGGGGAG